rnacentral:rRNA from 1 species
UACGAGGGGGGCAAGCGUUGUUCGGAAUUAUUGGGCGUAAAGGGUGCGUAGGCGGUCUGACAAGUCUGAUGUGAAAUCUAUGGGCUCAACCCAUAGUCUGCAUCGGAAACUGUCGGGCUUGAGUAUGGGAGAGGUGAGUGGAAUUUCCGGUGUAGCGGUGAAAUGCGUAGAUAUCGGAAGGAACACCUGUGGCGAAGGCACUUUACUGGGCUAUUACUAACACUCAGAGACGAAAGCUAGGGUAGCAAUGGG